rnacentral:rRNA from 1 species
AGAACGAACGCUGGCGGCAGGCUUAACACAUGCAAGUCGAACGCCCCGCAAGGGGAGUGGCAGACGGGUGAGUAACGCGUGGGAAUCUACCCAGUUCUACGGAAUAACACAGGGAAACUUGUGCUAAUACCGUAUACGCCCUACGGGGGAAAGAUUUAUCGGGAUUGGAUGAGCCCGCGUUGGAUUAGCUAGUUGGUGGGGUAAUGGCCUACCAAGGCGACGAUCCAUAGCUGGUCUGAGAGGAUGAUCAGCCACACUGGGACUGAGACACGGCCCAGACUCCUACGGGAGGCAGCAGUGGGGAAUAUUGGACAAUGGGCGCAAGCCUGAUCCAGCCAUGCCGCGUGAGUGAUGAAGGCCUUAGGGUUGUAAAGCUCUUUCGAGUGGGGAAGAGUAAUGACGGUACCACAGAAGACGCCCGGCUAACUUCGCGCCAGCAGCCGC